GACAGAGGGGUGCAAACGUUUUGUUCGGGAAUUACUGGGGCGAAAGCGAGUGUAGGCGGUUCGAUAAGUCGGAUGUGAAAGCCCCGGGGCUCAACCCGGGGAAGUGCACUCGAUACUGUCGAGCUAGAGCAUCGGAGAGGUUGGUGGAAUUCUCGGUGUAGAGGUGAAAUUCGUAGAUAUCGAGAGGAACACCGGGUGGCGAAGGCGGCCAACUGGACGAAUACUGACGCUGAGACUCGAAAGCGUGGGGGAGCAAACAGG
rnacentral:rRNA from 1 species